UAUGGUAAUGUGUGCCAGCCGCGGUAAUACGGAGGAUGCGAGCGUUAUCCGGAUUUAUUGGGUUUAAAGGGAGCGCAGACGGGUCGUUAAGUCAGCUGUGAAAGUUUGGGGCUCAACCUUAAAAUUGCAGUUGAUACUGGCGUCCUUGAGUGCGGUUGAGGUGUGCGGAAUUCGUGGUGUAGCGGUGAAAUGCUUAGAUAUCACGAAGAACUCCGAUUGCGAAGGCAGCACACUAAGCCGUAACUGACGUUCAUGCUCGAAAGUGUGGGUAUCAAACAGG
rnacentral:rRNA from 1 species